rnacentral:rRNA from 1 species
UGGGGGCAACCCUGAUCCAGCCAUGCCGCGUGAGUGAUGAAGGCCUUAGGGUCGUAAAGCUCUUUCGCCUGUGAAGAUAAUGACGGUAGCAGGUAAAGAAACCCCGGCUAACUCCGUGCCAGCAGCCGCGGUAAUACGGAGGGGGUUAGCGUUGUUCGAAAUUACUGGGCGUAAAGCGCACGUAGGCGGACCAGAAAGUUGGGGGUGAAAUCCCGGGGCUCAACCCCGGAACUGCCUCCAAAACUAUUGGUCUAGAGUUCGAGAGAGGUGAGUGGAAUUCCAAGUGUAGAGGUGAAAUUCGUAGAUAUUUGGAGGAACACCAGUGGCGAAGGCGGCUCACUGGCUCGAUACUGACGCUGAGGUGCGAAAGUGUGGGGAGCAAACAGGAUUAGAUACCCUGGUAGUCCACACCGUAAACGAUGAAUGCCAGACGUCGGCUAGCAUGCUAGUCGGUGUCACACCUAACGGAUUAAGCAUUCCGCCUGGGGAGUACGGCCGCAAGGUUAAAACACAAAGGAAUUGACGGGGGCCCGCACAAGCGGUGGAGCAUGUGGUUUAAUUCGAAGCAACGCGCAGAACCUUACCAACCCUUGACAUCCUGGGACCGCCAGAGAGAUCUGGUUUCCACUUCGGUGGCUCAGUGACAGGUGCUGCAUGGCUGUCGUCAGCUCGUGUCGUGAGAUGUUCGGUUAAGUCCGGCAACGAGCGCAACCCACAUCCUUAGUUGCCAGCAGUUCGGCUGGGCACUCUAAGGAAACUGCCCGUGAUAAGCGGGAGGAAGGUGUGGAUGACGUCAAGUCCUCAUGGCCCUUACGGGUUGGGCUACACACGUGCUACAAUGGCAGUGACAAUGGGUUAAUCCCAAAAAACUGUCUCAGUUCGGAUUGUCGUCUGCAACUCGGCGGCAUGAAGUCGGAAUCGCUAGUAAUCGCGUAACAGCAUGACGCGGUGAAUACGUUCCCGGGCCUUGUACACACCGCCCGU